GCCCAUUCCAGGGGCCGCCCGCCUAAGCCCUCGCGCCUCAGCCGCCCGCAGGAGAUUCCUUGGAAUGAAACCAAUGGGAGAUCAGGGUUUGGGAGAGUCUCAUCAGAGCAGAUGGUCCAGCAGCAGCCAGAAAGCUUGUUGCCUUUGGCUGAGAGCACCAUCCUGGAUCUGAACGUCUUGUGAGCAAACCCCAGCAGGCUCAGCCUUGGGCCAAGUGAAGCUGGCCUGCUUCUCCUUGAAGAGGAACCUAAUCAGAUAUGCCUACUGGAGCACAGAACACUGAAAUUGAUGGAGGUUGUGACCAUUCUACCCCCUGGUCACCAAGAACCAAAAUUCAACCUCAAAAGAAGCCCACAGGGGCACCUGGGCGGUUCAGUCAGUGAAGCAUCUGACUCUUGAUUUCAGCUCACAUCACCUU